GACAGAGGGGGCAAGCGUUGCUCGGAAUUACUGGGCGUAAAGGGCGCGUAGGCGGGAUGGCAAGUCGGUCGUGAAAUCCUUCGGCUCAACCGAAGAACGUCGAUCGAUACUGCUGUUCUUGAGGGUUGCAGAGGAGACUGGAAUUCCCGGUGUAGCGGUGAAAUGUGUAGAGAUCGGGAGGAACACCGGUGGCGAAGGCGGGUCUCUGGGCAAUUCCUGACGCUGAGACGCGAAAGCCAGGGGAGCGAACGGG
rnacentral:rRNA from 1 species